rnacentral:misc_RNA from 1 species
CUCUCUCUCUCUCUCUCUAUAUGUAUAUGAUUCUCUACUCUAUUUGCUAGAUCAUUUCACAUUGGCUUUCGAUUAUGGGGAUGUUUUAUAAUUGGCGAUAGGCAUUGUUUAUUGAAAACUUUGGGAUCAGUCGUUGCCUUUGAUUUCAGGUAAAUUUUCUUGGUUGUUGUUUUCAUGUUUGGGGAGUUUAGCUGAUGGGUAUACGAAGGUGAUUCACGUUCAUUUUUAGCUUGCUUGAGAUAACUGGAAUUUUCAAUGUCUUAGCUUGGAGAGUUUAGAGCCCCGAGUUUAUACAUAAAUUAUGAUAUCUGACAAUUUGUUUUUUGCUUUUGUUUGGAUCUCGCAUAAAACGUUUGAUUCGAGUUUUUUUUUUUUAAUUAUAAUUCUAUGGUUUCAGAUCUAGUAGUAAUUUAAAGAAAUUCCCUGCUGAAAUGUCAAGCUCCUGCAGUUACUAAGGUUUUCUUUUUCCUCUCUGUUACCAACCUUUCCAGGUACAUGGUAUCGUAUCUUUCAUGGUGUCACUGUCACCUUUCAACAAUCAGGCAUGAGAAUCUUCUUUUAGGAUUUGGUCUCAACUAUGGUUUUGGUGAAUGGUUAUGUGAGCCAAAAAAUCAGCAAUUUUGACUUGAAAUCGUAGAUUUAUUAUUAAAUUGUUAGUAAAAAAAGAAACGAGGUCAACAGGGAGAUACAACUCCAAAUCCAGAUAAUUCUGUAGUGGGAUUCUGAUUGGUAACUUUGGGUUGAUCUGGGGAGCUGGAAUUUGGUAUGGCUGUUGCCAAGAGCAACAGCAGCCGUGACUUGUUGAAGCAACCGUGCAAUUGUUACACAGUUUCAAGCUUAACUCAUACCAUUUUGGAUACAAAUCAGACUUCAAAUUUGAAGGAUAGGUAUGUUCUUGGAGAGCAGCUGGGUUGGGGACAAUUUGGUGUUAUUAGAAUGUGCACUGAUAGGUCGACUGGAGAGAAAUUGGCAUGCAAAUCAAUUGCUAAGGAUAGAUUAGUGACCUCAGAUGAUGCUAGAAGUGUCAGACUCGAGAUUGAGAUAAUGACUAGGUUAUCUGGGCACCCAAAUGUUGUGGAUCUCAAGGCAGUUUAUGAGGAUGAGGAUUAUGUUCAUUUGGUAAUGGAGCUUUGUGCUGGAGGGGAGCUUUUUCACCAGUUAGAAAAGCAGGGACGAUUCUCUGAGGUGGAGGCUAGGGUUAUCUUCAGGCAUUUGAUGCAAGUGGUGUUUUAUUGUCAUGAAAUCGGGGUGGUUCACAGGGAUCUGAAGCCAGAGAAUAUCCUUUUGGCUACAAAAGCCUCAUCUUCACCUAUUAAACUGGCAGAUUUUGGUCUUGCAACCUAUAUCAACCCUGGUCAGAAUUUGCAUGGGACUGUUGGGAGUCCAUUUUAUAUAGCCCCAGAUGUAUUGACAGGGGGCUAUAAUCAGGCUGCCGAUGUUUGGAGUGCAGGGGUGAUUCUUUACGUUCUUCUUAGUGGGACACCACCAUUUUGGGGUAAGACUAAGUCA